GACAGUCGCGGCGCGGCGGUGCGCUGGGGAGGUGGUGGUGUUCCGCACUAAUAUUUUGUAUUUUUCUCUGUUUCAUGCAGUGAGCUGGGUAAAUAUCGUAUGAGGAACUCAUUAGUAGUGUUUGUCCUCCCUGAAACAAGCGUUUGGUGUUGUCAGCUGCGGCCUGGAGCUUCGAGGGUCAGUGGAAACGUGGUCUGCAAUCGGCACGUGAACGCCACCACACACCAGCCAGAUGCGUGUGUUAGCGUUUCUCGCACCUCUUCUGGCGGCGUCCGUCUGCCAUGGGGAGAUAUUCACUGCUCUAGUGGACAUGGAACACCUGGCGUACACGGAGCGGGAGCUGCUGGGAAUGCUCGACAGGGCCAUCCAGGCGGAGGAGCAGAAAAUUCAGACACUGAAAAAGUACAUGGAGCAGUACCAGCGUGUGAACCGGGAGCUGGUGGAUAACCAGGAGGCCUACCUCCAUAACCCCGUCAAUGCCUACCUGGUGGUGAAGAGGCUGGCCGCCGACUGGAAAAUAGUCCAGGGAGUCAUCACUGAGAAUGUCGGAUCCAAGUUUGUGGAGAACAUCACCCAGGUCUCAGAGACGCUCCGUAUUCCCGACGAUGAGGACCUGAACGGCGCGGCCAUGGCCCUCAUCAGACUCCAGGAUACGUACCGACUCAACACCGCCGACAUCGCGUCCGGUGAGAUUCAGGGCAGCCGUCUGAAGCGCCAGCUCACGGCCGGCGACUGCUUCGAGCUCGGCAGGCAGAGCUACAACAACGCUGACUUCAAACACACGGCGCUCUGGAUGGAGGAGGCCUGGAAGAUCUGGCGCUCCGAGUCUGACGAGCGUACGGCGCCUCUGGGCGACAUCCUCGAGUACCUAGCGUUCAGUACAUACAAAAUGGGGGACGUGGAGGGUGCGCUGCGGCUGACCAACCAGCUACUCGACGAGGAGCCCGGACACCCGCGCGGAGUCGGAAAUAAGGCGUACUACGAGCAGGAGCUGGCCAAGCAGGCGUCCACGGUGCGCCGUCAGAGGAAGGGGGAGACCGGGGAGGAUGAGGAUCUGGACGUCAGCGUCAGAGAGGGCUACACUGUCCCGGAGUCGACCGAGGAGGCCCGUCUUCCCGAGCGUGACAUGUACGAGGCCAUGUGUCGCGGGGAGAUCACCGUGCCGCCCAGCAAAGCCAGGAAACUGAAGUGUUACUACGCGCACAACUCGGCUCCGUUCCUGCUCCUGCAGCCGAUUCGCGCCGAGGACCUGUACCUGAAGCCGCACCUGGUCAUGUACCACGACGUGAUGUACGACUCCGAGAUCGAGGCCAUCAAGCAGCUUGCCUCGCCCAGGCUGGCGCGCGCCACCGUUCAGAACUCGAAGACGGGCCAGCUGGAGACGGCCAGCUACCGUAUCAGCAAGUCGGCCUGGCUCAAACAGGGAGAACACCCGCUGGUCGACCAGGUGAACCGCCGAGUGGCCCAGCUGACGGGCCUGAACCUGGACACCGCUGAGGAGCUGCAGGUGGUCAACUACGGAAUGGGCGGACACUACGAGCCCCACUUCGACUUCGCCAGGAAAGAGGAGACCAACGCUUUCAAGAGCCUGGGAACGGGCAACCGCAUAGCUACGUUCAUCUUUUAUAUGUCGGACGUGGAGGCGGGCGGCGCCACUGUGUUCCCGGAGAUCGGGGCCGCCGUGUGGCCUCGGAAGGGCUCGGCGGCGUUCUGGUACAACCUGCACCGCUCCGGGGAGGGCGACUACGACACGCGGCACGCCGCCUGUCCCGUGCUCAUCGGCAGCAAGUGGGGUGAGUCUGGGGGCUACUCAGGGUUCGGUACUAGGACCACUCUUAUUGGCGGCAGGUGGGGUGAGUGUUGGAUAGUAACAACUCAAGUGCAGUUGUUCGCAAGAAGCUUUCGUUGUUAGUUUGUAAUAAUAUGCAUAAAUGAUAAAGUACCGAUUUAAUCACCCAAGUUAAAGGCGUUAUACAGUUUUGCUGAAGCCUGAAAGGGCGCACAGGGUUCGGAAUUGGGCCCACUCUUGAGUGGAAUGUGUAUGUUUGCAUAUAAACCAGCUGAAAUUGUCAGGUAAUUUAUCGGAAAUGACGAUGCAGUCCAAGAUACAAUGCGUAGACAUUCGAUUGAAUAGGCAUUAAACAUCUCAGACAUUCUACAUUCGAUUUGUGCUGUUAUAACGAAGGCAUCGGACAUGUUUCGUCAACAACACUUAAUUCAUGCCCGUUAUACAUAGAUGCAUGAACAUGUAAGUAUAUCAGACAGCGGUGGUGGCUAUAUGAUGAAUCCUUAGCUGUGGAGAGUCAACCUCCAGCAUGUGUGCCCAUUCUUUGAUUUUUGUAGAUGAUAUAGUGCACCAUUCCGUGUCCCUCGGUGUCGGGUCUGUGUUAUGAUUCGGGAGAUCUCUGGUGUAUGAUUCUACCCUCAUUGAAUAAUACCUGUCUGAUUUCGGAAAAUUCCGACGAUCUUUGGGUACCCGGAGGAGCCUUACUAUCUGACACACGUGCGAUACCCCGCUUUAGAGCUUAGCGACGCUGGCAAACAUUUUCAUGGAGCUUCCGAGGCCUCUGAGGAGGUCGCCAAUUAACUCUCGAUGAACAACGCGGGGCCCAAGACCGAACCCUGCACAACACCGCUUAUGACGCUUGUGUAUCCAACAAGUGGAUCCACGAAAUUGGCCAGGAGUUUGCUCGUCCGUGCGGCCUAACGCCCGACGAGUGAUUGGGGGCGACAUCUGGCUAUCACUAGUUCAGAGCAUAUCGCCAGGUGUCACUGUCGGCUGUCCGGGGUUUGUAUGGCCGGACAGCCUGCGCCAUACUGAAAAAUCAACAGCCCGGCUAAGAUGAUAGGAAGAGUUUGAUGAUUUAUUUUGACAUAGUGCUGGCGGCCUAACUCAAAGCAUAUUUGACAUUGCAUUUGCCUAUUUGUAGCAGAAUGUAGAGCUGCGUGAAAAAUCACGCACAAAAAUCACUUACGCUCGUGUUAUUUUCGUCAGGGGCCCUUAACUCGAACUUUGUAAUUUGUGAGGCAUAACUUUUGACAAUUAUAUGUCCGCCGACAUAGGCUUAGAAGGCCUUUGCGCCGCUUUAGGAACCCUGUCACUGGUUUUAGGCCUUUGUGUCAGUAUAUUAUGCGCUAGCGGCGGGAAGUGACGAGAUUUGUAUCUGCGAUAUGUUUGUGAACGACCUUUGAGGUGGUUCAGCAGGGAAUACUUCACUGUAGGGGAAUGUGGAUUCUUUGAUCCAGGAUUGUUUUGAUACUAGUCGAUUCGUAAAGAGAUGGCCAUCAUUCGUUUGACUCUCUGCUGAUAACUGUAGCGUUUCUUCUUAAACAGUUAGUACCGCGAAAUACGGUGCGAAGCUUGCCCGAAUGACGCCAUACGAACUACUUUUAACUCGCUUCUGUUUUACUGGUUUGCGUGUUGAGUUAUCUUUCUGUAUUUGUCACAGAAUACCCCAUAGCCAGUAGCCACUUAGGUUGUAAAUAUAGCCUUCGAUUGUGAGCUGCUUAACUUUGCUUUUACUCACUUCAGUUGGCAUUUCUUUUCCUAAAAUAUUCGUUUGACGGGAUUCUCUAAUGUGUUUUCAGACGCUCUUUUGAGUGCACUUUUCCAAUUAGCCCUUACAUUUCAUAGCAAUAAUGGAUAUUGCCUUUUUUAUCAUCCUUCUACUUAAACCGAUUUCUUUCUAUUGUAAGCGGAGUGAUUCUCAUUAAAAACAAUGGUUACCAUUAGCCGCCAUCAUUGUCGUAACAUUUGUGACGUCACAAAUCUGAAAGUGACGUUAUGACAUCGUGUAAAUGUUUUAGGGAUGUGUGACAGGAAAAGAUAAAUCUUGGACAGAUGGUAUUGUGUUGGCUCGAUCAUUGCUUAUGUUAUUCUUCGUUUGCGAAAUGCAAAAGUGUAAUGAUUUGCUUCUGUAUUUGAUAACCGUUUUGGGUGAUUUCCGCCCUUUCGUUGGCGAUUUCUAUUUUGUGUUGGGGUAUUAUGUUCGUAUUUCCGGCUGGUAUUUUGCGCCUAUGUUAUGUGCUGGCUGUUUUAAAUAGGUAGCGCUCUCUGUAUUGGGUUUUGCUGUGUGCUUCUCUGAGCUUGAAUUUCGUGUUUGCCGAGCUGUGGAAUUGUGCGCAAUAAAGAGUCGAAACGGU
rnacentral:misc_RNA from 1 species